rnacentral:rRNA from 1 species
UACGAAGGGGGCGAGCGUUGUUCGGAAUCACUGGGCGUAAAGGGCGCGUAGGCGGCCCUCUUAGUCGCGUGUGAAAGCCCCGGGCUCAACCUGGGAACGGCGCGCGAAACGGGAGGGCUGGAGUUCGGGAGAGGAGAGUGGAAUUCCCAGUGGUAGAGGUGAAAUUCGUAGAUAUUGGGAAGAACACCGGUGGCGAAGGCGGCUCUCUGGACCGAGACUGACGGCUCAGGC